UGAACGCUGGCGGCAUGCUUUCCACAUGCAAGUCGAACGGCAGCGCGGGCUUCGGCCUGGCGGCGAGUGGCGAACGGGUGAGUAAUGCAUCGGAACGUGCCCAGUAGUGGGGGAUAGCCCGGCGAAAGCCGGAUUAAUACCGCAUACGACCUGAGGGUGAAAGCGGGGGACCGAAAGGCCUCGCGCUAUUGGAGCGGCCGAUGUCGGAUUAGCUAGUUGGUGGGGUAAAGGCUUACCAAGGCGACGAUCCGUAGCUGGUCUGAGAGGACGACCAGCCACACUGGGACUGAGACACGGCCCAGACUCCUACGGGAGGCAGCAGUGGGGAAUUUUGGACAAUGGGGGCAACCCUGAUCCAGCCAUGCCGCGUGCGGGAAGAAGGCCUUCGGGUUGUAAACCGCUUUUGUUCGGGAAGAAAUCCUCUGGGCUAAUACCCCGGGGGGAUGACGGUACCGGAAGAAUAAGCACCGGCUAACUACGUG
rnacentral:rRNA from 1 species